UACGUAGGGGGCGAGCGUUGUCCGGAAUUAUUGGGCGUAAAGGGAGUGUAGGCGGUUAGGUAAGUCUGCUGUGAAAUCCUGGGGCUCAACCCUGGGCGUGCAGCUGAUACUGCCUGGCUAGAGGGUGGUAGAGGCGAGUGGAAUUCCGAGUGUAGCGGUGAAAUGCGUAGAUAUUCGGAGGAACACCAGUAGCGAAGGCGGCUCGCUGGGCCACACCUGACGCUGAGACGCGAAAGCGUGGGGAGCGAACAGG
rnacentral:rRNA from 1 species